rnacentral:rRNA from 1 species
GACAGAGGUCCCGAGCGUUAGGCGGAAUCACUGGGCUUAAAGCGUGUGUAGGCGGAUCCGUAAGUACCUUGUGAAAUCCCACGGCUUAACCGUGGAACUGCUCGGUAUACUGCGGAUCUUGAGCCACCUAGGGGCAACCGGAACAAACGGUGGAGCGGUGAAAUGCGUAGAUAUCGUUUGGAACGCCAAUGGUGAAAACAGGUUGCUGGGGGUGUGCUGACGCUGAGGCGCGAAAGCGUGGGGAGCGAACAGG